rnacentral:rRNA from 1 species
GACGAACGCUGGCGGCGUGCCUAAUACAUGCAAGUAGAACGCUGAAGAGAGGAGCUUACUCUUCUUGGAUGAGUUGCGAACGGGUGAGUAACGCGUAGGUAACCUGCCUUGUAGCGGGGGAUAACUAUUGGAAACGAUAGCUAAUACCGCAUAACAAUGGAUGACACAUGUCAUUUAUUUGAAAGGGGCAAUUGCUCCACUACAAGAUGGACCUGCGUUGUAUUAGCUAGUAGGUGAGGUAAUGGCUCACCUAGGCGACGAUACAUAGCCGACCCGAGAGGGUGAUCGGCCACACUGGGACUGAGACACGGCCCAGACUCCUACGGGAGGCAGCAGUAGGGAAUCUUCGGCAAUGGGGGCAACCCUGACCGAGCAACGCCGCGUGAGUGAAGAAGGUUUUCGGAUCGUAAAGCUCUGUUGUAAGUCAAGAACGGGUGUGAGAGUGGAAAGUUCACACUGUGACGGUAGCUUACCAGAAAGGGACGGCUAACUACGUG